GGAUGUGAGGGCGAUCUGGCUGCGACAUCUGUCACCCCAUUGAUCGCCAGGGUUGAUUCGGCUGAUCUGGCUGGCUAGGCGGGUGUCCCCUUCCUCCCUCACCGCUCCAUGUGCGUCCCUCCCGAAGCUGCGCGCUCGGUGGAAGAGGACGACCUUCCCCCAUAGAGGAGGACCAGUCUUUGGUCAAGGGUAUACGAGUAGCUGGGCUCCCCUGCUAGAACCUCCAAACAAGCUCUCAAUAUCAUAUAAUUGUGCUUAUAAAUUGCACUUAGAAACUAGGUACUUUGAAACCAUAUCCCUUAUAUGGUUU
rnacentral:snRNA from 1 species